GGGGGUGUAAAUUCGGGGCUGAGCGGGUUCCCUACCCGCAAAUUACAGGUAUUCGACCCGUAAAUUGCGGGUACACCCAAAAAUAUUACCCUUAUCUACCGCUAUGCUCAGUUCAAAAUUGAACAGACCCAAUAUACUCAAAUCAAAAUUGAACUGAUAGGUGUAAAAUACGAAUUGAACCGACCAAUCAAAGCAUAUAAAAUCGACCAAAACCGAUCGACUGAAGUCGAUCUAUUUUGAUCGGUAACUGACCAAACCGACAGAGAUAGGGUGUGGCAGUGGAGCAAGAAGGUCUGUUGUCUGCUGGCGGCAGACGGGCGGAGGGGAUGCAGGGCAGGUGGCGUUGCGGCAAGCUGUAGCAGUAGAGUAGGGAAGGAUGGACGGCAUCGACGCGGGAUGCUGUUGUUGCUGGAUGGACGACAUCAACGAGGGUUGUUGCUGCUGUUAGUCGCUGGUCUGCUAUCAUCGGAAGCGGAGGAAGAUGGGUACAUGGGGCAGCUCCGGAGGAGGACAACAGAUGGGAUUAGAUAGGGUUACCGGAGAUACUCCCUCCUUCCACAAAGAGUGUAUUGUGGAGGACACAAAUUUUAAUAAAAAAGUUGAAAGAUUUGAUUUUAAUGUUAAAUGAUAGUGUUGAGCCCACCAAAAUAUAAAAGUAAAAGGUGAGUAUUUUGUAAAUAUUGAGUGUGAAUAAAGUUUAAAGUAUA
rnacentral:lncRNA from 1 species